rnacentral:rRNA from 1 species
GAUGAACGCUAGCGGCAGGCCUAACACAUGCAAGUCGAGGGGCAGCACAGAAACAGCAAUGUUUUGGUGGCGACCGGCGGACGGGUGCGUAACGCGUAUGCAACCUACCUUUAACAGGGAGAUAACGGAGAGAAACUUCCACUAAUACCCCAUAACAUCGAUCAAGGCAUCUUGAUUGGUUGAAAACUCCGGUGGUUGAAGAUGGGCAUGCGUUGUAUUAGGUAGUUGGUGAGGUAAUGGCUCACCAAGCCUACGAUACAUAGGGGGACUGAGAGGUUAGCCCCCCACACUGGUACUGAGACACGGACCAGACUCCUACGGGAGGCAGCAGUGAGGAAUAUUGGUCAAUGGGGGCAACCCUGAACCAGCCAUGCCGCGUGCAGGAAGACGGCUCUAUGAGUUGUAAACUGCUUUUAAACAGGGAUAAAGCACAGUAUGUAUACUGUGUUGAAGGUACUGUAAGAAUAAGGAUCGGCUAACUCCGUGCCAGCCGCCGCCGUAA